rnacentral:misc_RNA from 1 species
CCAAGAAUGUGUGUAUAAACCUAACAGAGAGGCCAUAGGGUCAUCUUUAGUAUCUCACUCAAAAUUAAUUGCAUUAUAGUACUAAUUGUUAAAAGUAUCAUGUUUAGUGUGUAUAUUAAACUGUGCUAUCAUCUAAUAAGCACAUUUUUCUGUAGAACAACAUUUAUUCUUUGCUUGUUUGUUUUGGGUAAUAUUGUUCAUGUUUUUCUUACAACUUGAUUUUUCAUUUUAUUGUAAAUUUUUAGAAUGUUGUAAAAAUAAUCAAAUUAUUAGGUUUUCUAUAUUAAUAAGGUUUUUUUUUUAAAUGAAAGAGGGAUAUUCCCACAAGCACAUGUUUCUGCCACAGCCAGAAAGUUUACCCUGUAGUACAAUAACAACCAUCAUCGCAAACCACAGUUUUGAGUCCAGAUGAUGGAGAGAAUCGAUGUGAAUAAUAACACAUUUCAUGCAUUUUCAUACUAUUUGCAAACACUUCAAUGCAGAAAUAAGUGUCUGUGGGCAUUCCACAUUGUUUGGUUUGGGUUUGUACUGGAGUUUUGAUUUUUGCAAUUGUUGAUUUUUCAACUUUUACUUUUUUCCAUAUUAUAAAUGCAUCUCUAACACUCAGUAGUGAUAUGAAAACAUUCUACCUUUUUUUACCUACAUGUUUAGUGGCAUAUAUGUAAUUUUUCUAUCUUGUUGAUAUAUAUGCAUUGUUGUUGUUAACUUUAUACUUGAAUUAAUUCAUAAUAUUCCUCCAAAGUUUGUUAUACAUACAUUGUGGAUAUGUUCAAUUAAACAUGUUUUAUAAUAU